rnacentral:rRNA from 1 species
CGGAUUGAAGGCUGAAAUUCGCCUUCAUGAAGCCGGAAUUGCUAGUAAUGGCAGGUCAGCAUACUGCCGUGAAUACGUUCCCGGGCCUUGUACACACCGCCCGUCACACCAUGAGAGUUGGAGAUACCCGAAGCCUGUGAGCUAACAAACGAGGCAGCAGUCGAAGGUAGAAUCAAUGAUUGGGGUGAAGUCGUAACAAGGUAUC